UAACAUUUAAUAAUAAAAAAACGACGAAGCCGAUUGUUGGAACUUUACCAUUAGCGAAUCCAAUUUACCAUCAGUAUUAUGACUAGUAAAGGUAGUUCGCAAAAAUCAGUAAAAUUACCAUUACAAGAAACCAUGGAAUCCUGGCUGGCCGAGUUUCCAGAGUUGGUAUUGGAAGGAAGUACACUUAAAUGCACAACUUGUAACAUGACCCUGACCUGUAAAACAAGAUCAGGUAUUGUGAAGCACCGCUCUCGAGAGAAACAUAAAACAUUAAGUUUGAGCAAAUCAAAUGCCACUGAUCGACAAAAGAAUUUCAACAAGGAGCUUGUAAAAUUCAUGGACGGCUGCAAAAUUCCUUGGAAGCGAUUAGAGAGUCCUUGUUUUCGAAAGUUUAUUAAAAAGUGCAUUUCUGGUAAGUUUGGUAAUGUGCAAAUACCUUCAGAAACAUCUUUUAAGAAGUUUAUUAUUAUAAAAAAAGAGGGUACUUCAAAAAAACACGGGAAAGCAAAUGUAACUCCCAAAAAAA